GCCAACCCAAACAGGCCCUAGGAAGCGGUGAAGUGAACUGUUUGAUGAUUUUGUCUCCAAAACCCAUGGCGGCUCCCUUUCUUCAAGCCUCAAAACCUCUUUUUUUUCUUUGUCAAUCGCUCUCUCUCUUUUCCUUGACCUUUCCCCGAAAAUCCCCAUCUCUUAAAUUCUCUCCCGGCUUUAAAUUCUACGAUUUCUCUUUCUUUCUCUAUCAAUCUCAUCAUCAUUAUCAGCAUGGCAGCUGUUGCUUCUCCUUCUGAUCGUAUCCUUACUAACUUCCCUCAUCUGGGUACUCUUAGCAUUUGCAAUUCCCACUUUUAUCAUCUUACACAUAUGUAUAUAUAAUAUAGUUCAUAGCCAUCCGCACGUGUAUAUUAAGGUUGUCGACAUUUUUGUGCUUAUUUGGUUUUUGGGUUGAUUGAGAUUUGUUUUUUGGAUUGGUUUUUCUGUUUCAUAUGGGUUGAGGAAGAUGGCUUUUGUUAGGGUUUAUGUUUAGAUUAGUAAAUUAAAUUUUUAUUCUUAAGUUUUGAUUAGUUCUUUUCAAUUUUAAUAUACCUGUGGAGGUUUUUGAUUAUCUUCAUGCCUUGUAGCGUGUUGGUUGAUCGAAAUAUUGUUCACUAGAUGGCUCUUGUAGGCUACGUGUUGACAGAUUUUGGUUUUGUUGAUCAUGCUGGGAUUGCUGUCAUUGGAUGAAAACUCAGCCUUUUGUGCCAUACUGCUAAUUGUGGACAACAUGAUGUCAUUAUAUAUGGAUUUGAAUAAUGAAACAAUUGUGAAUUGAAUUACUUGACUUGUGGUUUGUUGUGUCCUUUACUAUUACCGUUACAGAGGUUGCAGAUGUGUUGGAGAACUUGCCAUUAGAUUCUCAGACUAUGACUGCUGAAAUUCCUGAAGCUACAAAGAAGGUAACUAGGUUUCUUCAUGGUUAUUGAUCAGUUUCUCCCCCCUCAAUCAUUUUGUCUGAUCACAUGGUAAAUUGAUUGGUAUAGCUUUCUACUAGUCAAUAUGGAUCAGGUGACUUGGCUACUAAUACAGCCAAGCCAUUAAGUCGGUCUAUGAUCCCUCUUCACGUACACCAAAACGCGUACUAUUCUCCUAAUGGCUACCCAUCGCCUGCGUACUAUUAUGGAGGUAAGCUGUAUAUUUAGGUUUAAGGCUAUUGCCCUACAAUGUCUGUUCAAAAGGGGCAUAAACCUGAAAUUUUAAGUUCAUUAAACUGUUUAAUUGGGCAGUUUGCUUUUCUGGGUCAGUAACAUUCUGGUGCAAAAUGUUCAUCCUUCUUCAGGUUAUGAUGGGCAUGGUAAUGGGUGGAACGACUACUCUAGUUAUGUUAAUCUUGAUGCGGUUGAGAUGUCUCACGGCAUCUAUGGCAAUAAUGAAACUUUUAUGUACCAUCAAGGCUAUGGUUAUGCACCUUUCGGGGCAUAUCCUUCACCAAGUUCUACUGUGCCUACAAGGGGAAAUGAUGGCCAGCUGUAUGGUACAGAGCACUAUCUGUACCCUAGUCCUUUUUACCAGGCUUCGGCUUCAACUGGCACACUUUAUUCUCCUAACUCAGCCAGUGCUUCCCAAGCAGAGGUUCCAACUUCUGCUGCAGCUGAUAAGGCGGCUUCGUCUGUUGGGACUGCUGCAGGAAACACCAAUAAUACAGUGAACAUUGGAAACAGUGGAAGUGUAAAUAGAAGUAAUCGACCAAAACCUUUCAGACCUAGUAAUCGAAAUUCAUCUGCAAGUUUAAAUGUUCCCUAUAACGGGGGAAGUUUACCAACAGGAUUUCCUUCACACGGUUAUCAAGACCCAAGGUUUGGAUACGAUGGAUUUCAGUCACCGAUCCCAUGGUUAGAUGCCUCUAUGUUUCCUAAUGGGCCUCCUGGACAUGCAAUCAGCACUGCAUUCUCUUCACCAGUGGCUACAAGACCAAUGUCUGGUUUGGGCCAAGCUUCCGAAGGCAUGAACUUGAUGUACCCUAACAACAGAAUGUAUGGCCAAUAUGGAUACAGAGCUGGUUCAAGUUUUGGAUCCUUUGGUGGUAAUUCAUGGACAAAUGGACAUGGGUGGGUGGUUGUUGAUAAUAAGUGCAAACCUAAGGGCCGUGGCUAUGGCAAUGAGAAUAUAGAUGGCUUAAGUGAGUUGAAUAGAGGACCUAGGUCCAAGGGUUUUAAGAACCAAACAGAGUUUGGGCCUGUUCCUCAGGCAGUCCCGGGGCAGAACAUGCCAUUGACCGAGAAUAACAAGGGGGAUAACGUGCCUCACAUGCCAGACAAGGAACGGUACAACAGGGAGGAUUUUCCCGAGAAUUACCCAAAUGCAAAAUUUUUUGUUAUUAAGUCAUACAGUGAGGAUGAUGUUCAUAAAAGCAUCAAGUAUGGUGUGUGGGCAAGCACACCUAAUGGAAAUAAGAAGCUAGAUGCAGCUUACCAUGAGGCCAAGGAAAUUCCUGGUGGCUGCCCUGUAUUUCUACUAUUUUCUGUCAACACCAGUGGGCAAUUUGUUGGUUUGGCUGAGAUGGUGGGGGCUGUUGAUUUUAACAAAACAAUGGAGUAUUGGCAACAGGAGAAGUGGAUUGGUUGCUUCCCUGUCAAGUGGCAUAUUGUUAAGGAUGUAGCAAAUAGUUCCUUGAGGCAUAUAACACUUGAGAACAAUGAGAACAAGCCUGUCACUAAUAGUAGGGAUACACAAGAGGUUAUCUUGGAGAAAGGUAUUCAGAUACUUAAAAUUUUUAAGGGUCAUAGAAGCAAGACUUCCAUACUGGAUGAUUUUGGGUUUUAUGCGGCUCGCGAAAGGAUUAUGCUGGAGAAAAGGGCUAAGCAAAAAAUUCAAAAACAGGUUUUUGACAGGAAGCCUGGCAAUGAUUUGGCUACUAAUUUAGAGAAACUUGAAAUGGUGGGGAAAGAGAGUUCAGAAAAAUCCAUCAACAGUGUAUUGAAGGAACCAGUUGGUGCAGUAGCAGUUGAACUGGGGAAGAUGAAUGGGGAGGUAAAGCUGCUAGAAGAGAAUGGAUCAGAUGCAGCAGUUGAAAACUCCCCUAACAAUAACAAGUCCGUUGGGGCAUCUGAAAACAAAGUUGAUCCUAAUGUGGUUGCAAGUGCCUGCUAAUUUUUAGGCGUUUACCACUUCAUUUUGGGAUAGGAUGUUAGGGCAGAGUUGAGGUGAUGGGUUUCAUGACACUGUUAGUGAAUUUGCUAAUUACUAUCAGUACUCACAUAGGUUAGCUUUACCUUUUUUAGAUGGACUCAUGCUUUGUGGAUCAGAAAGACCUGUGUUCUUUUAUAGCUUGGUGAGACAGACUGGCUUCUCAGGACCUUUAAAGAUAAUGUUUUUCUCUCCUUUUGGUGGGAAAUUUUGAGUAAUUCUCUCAUAAUUGUUACUUUAU
rnacentral:misc_RNA from 1 species